GGUUAAGCGACUAAGCGUACACGGUGGAUGCCCUGGCAGUCAGAGGCGAUGAAGGACGUGCUAAUCUGCGAAAAGCGUCGGUAAGGUGAUAUGAACCGUUAUAACCGGCGAUGUCCGAAUGGGGAAACCCAGUGUGAUUCGUCACACUAUCGUUAACUGAAUACAUAGGUUAACGAGGCGAACCGGGGGAACUGAAACAUCUAAGUACCCCGAGGAAAAGAAAUCAACCGAGAUUCCCCCAGUAGCGGCGAGCGAACGGGGAGCAGCCCAGAGUCUGAAUCAGCUUGUGUGUUAGUGGAACGGUCUGGAAAGUCCGACGGUACAGGGUGAUAGUCCCGUACACCAAAAUGCACAGGUUGUGAACUCGAAGAGUAGGGCGGGACACGUGGUAUCCUGUCUGAAUAUGGGGGGACCAUCCUCCAAGGCUAAAUACUCCUGACUGACCGAUAGUGAACCAGUACCGUGAGGGAAAGGCGAAAAGAACCCCGGCGAGGGGAGUGAAAAAGAACCUGAAACCGUGUACGUACAAGCAGUGGGAGCACCUUCGGGUGUGACUGCGUACCUUUUGUAUAAUGGGUCAGCGACUUAUAUUCUGUAGCAAGGUUAACCGUAUAGGGGAGCCGCAGGGAAACCGAGUCUUAACUGGGCGUUAAGUUGCAGGGUAUAGACCCGAAACCCGGUGAUCUAGCCAUGGGCAGGUUGAAGGUUGGGUAACACUAACUGGAGGACCGAACCGACUAAUGUUGAAAAAUUAGCGGAUGACUUGUGGCUGGGGGUGAAAGGCCAAUCAAACCGGGAGAUAGCUGGUUCUCCCCGAAAGCUAUUUAGGUAGCGCCUCGUGAAUUCAUCUUCGGGGGUAGAGCACUGUUUCGGCUAGGGGGUCAUCCCGACUUACCAACCCGAUGCAAACUACGAAUACCGAAGAAUGUUAUCACGGGAGACACACGGCGGGUGCUAACGUCCGUCGUGAAGAGGGAAACAACCCAGACCGCCAGCUAAGGUCCCAAAGUCAUGGUUAAGUGGGAAACGAUGUGGGAAGGCACAGACAGCCAGGAUGUUGGCUUAGAAGCAGCCAUCAUUUAAAGAAAGCGUAAUAGCUCACUGGUCGAGUCGGCCUGCGCGGAAGAUGUAACGGGGCUAAACCAUGCACCGAAGCUGCGGCAGCGACACUAUGUGUUGUUGGGUAGGGGAGCGUUCUGUAAGCCUGCGAAGGUGACCUGUGAGGGUUGCUGGAGGUAUCAGAAGUGCGAAUGCUGACAUAAGUAACGAUAAAGCGGGUGAAAAGCCCGCUCGCCGGAAGACCAAGGGUUCCUGUCCAACGUUAAUCGGGGCAGGGUGAGUCGACCCCUAAGGCGAGGCCGAAAGGCGUAGUCGAUGGGAAACAGGUUAAUAUUCCUGUACUUGGUGUUACUGCGAAGGGGGGACGGAGAAGGCUAUGUUAGCCGGGCGACGGUUGUCCCGGUUUAAGCAUGUAGGCUGGUUGUCCAGGCAAAUCCGGAUAAUCAAGGCUGAGGUGUGAUGACGAGGCACUACGGUGCUGAAGUAACAAAUGCCCUGCUUCCAGGAAAAGCCUCUAAGCAUCAGGUAACAUUAAAUCGUACCCCAAACCGACACAGGUGGUCAGGUAGAGAAUACCAAGGCGCUUGAGAGAACUCGGGUGAAGGAACUAGGCAAAAUGGUGCCGUAACUUCGGGAGAAGGCACGCUGGUGUGUAGGUGAAGUCCCUGCGGAUGGAGCUGAGACCAGUCGAAGAUACCAGCUGGCUGCAACUGUUUAUUAAAAACACAGCACUGUGCAAACACGAAAGUGGACGUAUACGGUGUGACGCCUGCCCGGUGCCGGAAGGUUAAUUGAUGGGGUUAUCCGUAAGGAGAAGCUCUUGAUCGAAGCCCCGGUAAACGGCGGCCGUAACUAUAACGGUCCUAAGGUAGCGAAAUUCCUUGUCGGGUAAGUUCCGACCUGCACGAAUGGCGUAAUGAUGGCCAGGCUGUCUCCACCCGAGACUCAGUGAAAUUGAACUCGCUGUGAAGAUGCAGUGUACCCGCGGCAAGACGGAAAGACCCCGUGAACCUUUACUAUAGCUUGACACUGAACAUUGAGCCUUGAUGUGUAGGAUAGGUGGGAGGCUUUGAAGCGUGGACGCCAGUCUGCGUGGAGCCAACCUUGAAAUACCACCCUUUAAUGUUUGAUGUUCUAACGUUGGCCCCUUACCGGGGUUGCGGACAGUGUCUGGUGGGUAGUUUGACUGGGGCGGUCUCCUCCCAAAGCGUAACGGAGGAGCACGAAGGUUAGCUAAUCCUGGUCGGACAUCAGGAGGUUAGUGCAAUGGCAUAAGCUAGCUUGACUGCGAGCGUGACGGCGCGAGCAGGUGCGAAAGCAGGUCAUAGUGAUCCGGUGGUUCUGAAUGGAAGGGCCAUCGCUCAACGGAUAAAAGGUACUCCGGGGAUAACAGGCUGAUACCGCCCAAGAGUUCAUAUCGACGGCGGUGUUUGGCACCUCGAUGUCGGCUCAUCACAUCCUAGGGCUGAAGUAGGUCCCAAGGGUAUGGCUGUUCGCCAUUUAAAGUGGUACGCGAGCUGGGUUUAGAACGUCGUGAGACAGUUCGGUCCCUAUCUGCCGUGGGCGCUGGAGAAUUGAGGGGGGCUGCUCCUAGUACGAGAGGACCGGAGUGGACGCAUCACUGGUGUUCGGGUUGUCAUGCCAAUGGCACUGCCCGGUAGCUAAAUGCGGAAGAGAUAAGUGCUGAAAGCAUCUAAGCACGAAACUUGCCCCGAGAUGAGUUCUCCCUGAGACUUUAAGUCUCCUGAAGGAACGUUAAAGACGAUGACGUUGAUAGGCCGGGUGUGUAAGCGCAGCGAUGCGUUGAGCUAACCGGUACUAAUGAACCGUGAGGCUUAACCUU
rnacentral:rRNA from 1 species